rnacentral:rRNA from 1 species
UACGUAGGGGGCAAGCGUUGUCCGGAUUUAUUGGGCGUAAAGAGCGUGUAGGCGGCCAGACAGGUCCGUUGUGAAAACUAGAGGCUUAACCUCUAGACGUCGAUGGAAACCGUCUGGCUAGAGUCCGGAAGAGGAGAAUGGAAUUCCUGGGUGUAGCGGUGAAAUGACGCAGAUAUCAGGAAGAACACCCGUGGCUAAGGCGGUUCUCUAGUACGGUACUGACGCUGAGACGCGAAAGCGUGGGGAGCGAACAGG